UACGAAGGGGGCUAGCGUUGCUCGGAAUCACUGGGCGUAAAGGGUGCGUAGGCGGGUCUUUAAGUCAGGGGUGAAAUCCUGGAGCUCAACUCCAGAACUGCCUUUGAUACUGAAGAUCUUGAGUUCGGGAGAGGUGAGUGGAACUGCGAGUGUAGAGGUGAAAUUCGUAGAUAUUCGCAAGAACACCAGUGGCGAAGGCGGCUCACUGGCCCGGUACUGACGCUGGAGGCACGAAAGCGUGGGGAGCAAACAGG
rnacentral:rRNA from 1 species